GCUUGCUUCGGCAGGACAUAUACUACAACUGGAAUAAUCCAGGGGAAAUUAUCAUGGUCCCUGUGCAAGAAUGAUAUAAAAAUUUGUGAAGCAUCCCAUAUUUUU